rnacentral:rRNA from 1 species
CUACGGGCGGCUGCAGUCGCGAAAACUCCGCAAUGCGCGAAAGCGUGACGGGGGGAUUCUGAGUGCUUCGGUUUUUCCGAGGCUUUUCGUGAGAGUAAACAUCUCGCGGAAUAAGUGGUGGGCAAGACUGGUGCCAGCCGCCGCGGUAACCCCAGCGCCACAAGUGGGAACCACGUUUAUUGGGUCUAAAGCAUCCGUAGCCGGCUUGUUAAAUGCCCUGUGAAAUCGUUCCGCCCAACGGGACGGCGUGCAGGGUAGACUGGCAAGCUUGGAACCAGGAAAGGUAUGCGGUAUUCAGUGGGGAGCGGUAAAAUGCUAUAAUCCACUGAGGACCACCGAUGGCGAAGGCAGCAUACUUGAAUGGAUUCGACGGUGAGGGAUGAAAGCCAGGGGAGCGAUCCGGAUUAGAUACCCUGGUAGUC